rnacentral:lncRNA from 1 species
UGAAACCCCAUCUUUACUAAAAAUAUAAAUAUUAGCUGGGCGUGGUGGGGUGUGCCUGUAGUUGCAGCUACUCAGGAGGCUGAGGCAGGAGAAUCGUUUGAGCCCAGGAGGUGGAGGUUGCAGUGAGCCAAGAUCGCGCCACUGCACUCCAGCCUGGCAACAGAGUGAGACUCUGUCUCAAAAAAAAAACUAAAAAAAACAAAAACAUUAGCCAGGUAUGGUGGCACGUGCCCAUAGUCUCAGCUACUCAGGAAUCUGAGGCAGGCUUGAACCCGGGAGGUGGGGGUUGCUGCGAGCCAAGAUCGUGCCACUGCACUCCAGCCUGGGUGACAGAGUCCAAAAAAAUAAUAAUAAUAAAAUAUUUAUAAGUAUUUUAUAUAACAUUCCAUCAGCAUUUACACUUGUGAAAUCUCCAUCACAAAUCUUUGCUGAUUUUAGUGUUAGGAGCCCAGGUCUGAUGCUGACAACACUACUGAUUUUAAUUUCAAGGCAAUCAUUUUCAAUGCAGAAUUUUACCUUAGAUUAAGAAAUUCAGCUCCUUCUGUUAACUCAAAGGAUUUUAAUAAUUCUGCUGCUGUUAAUUUUUAUGUAAUAUUUUAAUUAUAGUAGCUUAAUAAAAUUCAUGAUUGUGUUGUUUUCAAGGGGAUUCUAAUAGUUAAAUAAGUUUUUGUUUAUAGACAUAAAUUUUAUGGCUUAAUAGUUUAUAAUCUUUUCCAAGAAAAUUGUAUUUUUCUAAAUUGUUUACUCGGGAAUAUUACUGUGCAAAGGCACACUAAAGUAGAUCCCACAGAAUGUUGAAUGUCCAUUUCCACCAGCUUAGUAUCUUAAAUCUUUGCUUCAAAGAAGUUCUUGCUCAGGAAGUUAUUCAUUCAGCAACCUAAAAUUGUUUUUUGAGUACAUAUCAAGCACAGGGUUCUGAGCAAUGUCUUAGGAAGACCAUAAAGGUGAAUAAAUGAGUGUUUCUACCCUGAGGAAUUUAUCAAAGAUGUUAAGUUAUCUCCUUAGAGGUAUAAGUCAUAUAGGCAUAUUCUAUGUAUACUAAAGGUGGUAUGGCAUAAGAGUACAUAUAGUCACCAACUUAGAAUUGUUUGACUUGGCCGGGCGCAGUGGCUCACGCCUGUAAUCCCAGCACUUUGGGAGGCCAAGGCAGGUGGAUCACGAGGUCAAGAGAUCGAGACUAUCCUGGCCAACAUGGUGCAACCCCAUCUCCACUAAAAAUACAAAAAUUACCUAGGCAUGGUGGUGCAUGCCUGUAGUCCCAGCUACUUGGGAGGCUGAGGCAGGAGAAUCACUUGAACCCAGGAGGCAGAGGUUGCAGUGAGCCGAGAUCGCGCCACUGCACUCCAGCCUGGUGACAGAGCAAGACUCCAUCUCAAAAAAUAAUAAUAAUAAUAAUAAUAAUUCUUUGACUUAUGAUCUUUCAACUUCACAAUGGAGCGAAUGCUAUACACAUUCAGUAGAAAUUGGUACAAUAAUCCCUUGAUGCUGAGCAGCAGCAGUGAGCCACAGCUCCUGGUCAGCCGCAUGAUAACAAGGGCAGACAACUGAUACUCUACAGUUUACUGUGUUGAUAGGUUAUUUUGCUCAACUUUAGGCUAAUGUAAGUGUUUUCAGUACAUUUAAGGUAGUUUAGACUAAGCUAUGAUGUUUGGUAGGUUAGGUGUAUUGUAUCUAUUUUUGACUUAAUGAUAUUUUCAACUUUCGAUGAGUUUAUGGGGAAGUCACCCCAUGGCAAGCUGAGGAGCAUCUAUAUAAAGAGGUAAAAGAGCUCAAAGGAAAGAGGCAAAGAAUGCUUCUGGCUGGGAAAUUUGGAAAGCUUCUUGGUUUGGAUCUUGAAGAAUAAACAGUAUUUUGUCAGCUUGAAAUUUCUAAGAGGAGGCUAUUUCAUGCAAAGAAAAUGGUUUUAAGUUUGGAUUAUUGUGAAAAUGGAAGCAACAGUAAAGAGGGGAGGCUAGUCAAAAGGCAUAUAAUUUUUAAUGGGGAAAAACUAAAUAAAUUUUAAUAAAUUAGAGCCAAAAUGUAGCAACCAACUAGUCAUAGCUGUUGCUACUUUUACAGCAUUUGUAUAUCAUGAUUUAAAUUUAUAUAUGAUAUAAUAGCUAUAAUUUGUUUUCAGAUAUUGAAAGCAAAUAAAAGCAAUCUUUGUUUUGUGGUACAUUUUGUUGUGUUUUUUAACUUAUGUUUCAACAGGAACAAUAUAAACAGGCAUUCCCAUCACAGUUAAAGAAACAAGAGUCAUCGAAGAGCCUGAAGAAGGUUAUUGCAGCUUUGUCAAAUCCAAAAGCAACCUCUAGUUCACCAGCACAUCCAAAACAAACAUUAGAAAACAACCACCCAAAUCCAUUCUUGACAAAUGCACUUUUAGGUAAUCACCAACCAAAUGGAGUUAUUCAAAGUGUCAUUCAAGAAGCUCCUCUAGCACUUACUACCAAAACUAAAAUGCAGAGCAAGAUUAAUGAAAACAUUGCUGCUGCAAGUAGCACCCCUUUUUCCUCACCUGUAAAUCUGAGUACAAGUGGGAGAAGAACCCCUGGCAAUCAGACACCUGUAAUGCCCUCUGCCUCUCCCAUCCUGCAUAGUCAAGGGAAGGAAAAAGCAGUUAGCAAUAAUGUAAACCCAGUAAAAACACAGCAUCACUCCCAUCCUGCAAAAUCUUUAGUGGAACAAUUCAGAGGAACAGAUUCAGACAUUCCCAGUAGUAAAGAUUCUGAAGAUUCAAAUGAGGAUGAAGAGGAAGAUGAUGAAGAAGAAGAUGAGGAAGAUGAUGAAGAUGAUGAAUCUGAUGACAGCCAAUCAGAAUCAGAUAGUAAUUCAGAAUCAGAUACAGAAGGAUCAGAAGAAGAAGAUGAUGAUGAUAAAGACCAAGAUGAAUCAGAUAGUGAUACUGAAGGAGAGAAAACUUCAAUGAAACUGAAUAAAACAACUUCCUCUGUCAAAAGCCCUUCCAUGAGUCUCACAGGUCACUCAACACCUCGUAACCUCCACAUAGCAAAAGCCCCAGGCUCUGCUCCUGCUGCCUUAUGUUCUGAAUCCCAGUCACCUGCUUUUCUUGGUACAUCUUCUUCCACACUUACUUCAAGCCCACACUCUGGCACUUCCAAAAGAAGAAGAGUAACAGAUGAACGUGAACUGCGUAUUCCAUUGGAAUAUGGCUGGCAGAGAGAGACAAGAAUAAGAAACUUUGGAGGGCGCCUUCAAGGAGAAGUAGCAUAUUAUGCUCCAUGUGGAAAGAAACUUAGGCAGUACCCUGAAGUAAUAAAGUAUCUCAGCAGAAAUGGAAUAAUGGAUAUCUCAAGGGACAAUUUCAGCUUCAGUGCAAAAAUAAGAGUGGGUGACUUCUAUGAAGCCAGAGAUGGACCGCAGGGAAUGCAGUGGUGUCUUUUGAAAGAAGAGGAUGUCAUUCCUCGUAUCAGGGCAAUGGAAGGUCGUAGAGGAAGACCACCAAAUCCAGAUAGACAACGAGCAAGAGAGGAAUCCAGGAUGAGACGUCGGAAAGGUCGACCUCCAAAUGUUGGCAAUGCUGAAUUCCUAGAUAACGCAGAUGCAAAGUUGCUAAGAAAACUGCAAGCUCAAGAAAUAGCCAGGCAAGCAGCACAAAUAAAGCUUUUGAGAAAACUUCAAAAGCAGGAACAGGCUCGGGUUGCUAAAGAAGCCAAAAAACAACAAGCAAUAAUGGCUGCUGAGGAGAAGCGGAAGCAAAAAGAACAGAUAAAGAUUAUGAAACAGCAGGUAUGUGUAUACAUUGGAAGUGACUUUUAAAAUAUGGGACUUAUUUUGAGGAUUUGUUAGUAAUGUACAUUAUUUUUGAUUUCUUAAAUAACUAUAUUUCACAUUAAUAUUUGUGUCUUAUUUAGAAAGUUGCUAUCUUCUAUUAAUUAAAAUUUUACCUUUUUAAUAAAGUCUUCUACUUCCAAGUGUUUAAAGAAAUGAUUACCAAACAGUAAAUUUGUGUAAGUACUUUAAUAUCCUGGUAGACUUUGUAUAAGUUGAUAUCUUGAACAAUUUUCAGAAUUUUUAAAUUAAUGUAUCAGUCAAUGAAGUAUAUUGCUCGAAUGUUCAAAUUUUAAUAAAAGCUUGUUUUUCUUAAACAUGUAAAAUAUUAGUAGAAAAUUAAAUUCAAGUUAUACAAAAUAAGAUUUGCCUUCAUUGCUUCUUAAUGCUUUCAGGAUUACUUAAAAGUUGCCACUGCAAAAAAAAAAAAAAAAA